rnacentral:lncRNA from 1 species
CUUCAUUCCUUGCAUCUUAGAUCUAUGGAUUUGGAUGGAUGAAAUGGUUCUCCAAGUUCCCAAAAAUUGAGAACCUCUAAGUCUCUUCACCAAGGUUAGAUUGGAGAAGAAAUGAGUUACCUUGGAAGUAGUAGGAUUGCUAGCUAAACCCUCCAAGGAGGCCGGCCACUUUAGAGAGAAAGGAGAGCUUAUGUUCUCAUCCUUUUCCCCAAAAGAAAACCCUAAAUGAAUUUUGGCUAUAAAGUCAUAUUUAUACCUUAAUUCAUUGGAGUGGC